UUGAAGAGUUUGAUCAUGGCUCAGAUUGAACGCUGGCGGCAGGCCUAACACAUGCAAGUCGAGCGGUAGCACAGAGAGCUUGCUCGGGUGACGAGCGGCGGACGGGUGAGUAAUGUCUGGGAAACUGCCUGAUGGAGGGGGAUAACUACUGGAAACGGUAGCUAAUACCGCAUAACGUCGCAAGACCAAAGUGGGGGACCUUCGGGCCUCAUGCCAUCAGAUGUGCCCAGAUGGGAUUAGCUAGUAGGUGGGGUAACGGCUCACCUAGGCGACGAUCCCUAGCUGGUCUGAGAGGAUGACCAGCCACACUGGAACUGAGACACGGUCCAGACUCCUACGGGAGGCAGCAGUGGGGAAUAUUGCACAAUGGGCGCAAGCCUGAUGCAGCCAUGCCGCGUGUGUGAAGAAGGCCUUCGGGUUGUAAAGCACUUUCAGCGGGGAGGAAGGCGUUAAGGUUAAUAACCUUGGCGAUUGACGUUACCCGCAGAAGAAGCACCGGCUAACUCCGUGCCAGCAGCCGCGGUAAUACGGAGGGUGCAAGCGUUAAUCGGAAUUACUGGGCGUAAAGCGCACGCAGGCGGUCUGUCAAGUCGGAUGUGAAAUCCCCGGGCUCAACCUGGGAACUGCAUUCGAAACUGGCAGGCUAGAGUCUUGUAGAGGGGGGUAGAAUUCCAGGUGUAGCGGUGAAAUGCGUAGAGAUCUGGAGGAAUACCGGUGGCGAAGGCGGCCCCCUGGACAAAGACUGACGCUCAGGUGCGAAAGCGUGGGGAGCAAACAGGAUUAGAUACCCUGGUAGUCCACGCCGUAAACGAUGUCGAUUUGGAGGUUGUGCCCUUGAGGCGUGGCUUCCGGAGCUAACGCGUUAAAUCGACCGCCUGGGGAGUACGGCCGCAAGGUUAAAACUCAAAUGAAUUGACGGGGGGCCCGCACAAGCGGUGGAGCAUGUGGUUUAAUUCGAUGCAACGCGAAGAACCUUACCUGGUCUUGACAUCCACAGAACUUUCCAGAGAUGGAUUGGUGCCUUCGGGAACUGUGAGACAGGUGCUGCAUGGCUGUCGUCAGCUCGUGUUGUGAAAUGUUGGGUUAAGUCCCGCAACGAGCGCAACCCUUAUCCUUUGUUGCCAGCGGUUCGGCCGGGAACUCAAAGGAGACUGCCAGUGAUAAACUGGAGGAAGGUGGGGAUGACGUCAAGUCAUCAUGGCCCUUACGACCAGGGCUACACACGUGCUACAAUGGCAUAUACAAAGAGAAGCGACCUCGCGAGAGCAAGCGGACCUCAUAAAGUAUGUCGUAGUCCGGAUUGGAGUCUGCAACUCGACUCCAUGAAGUCGGAAUCGCUAGUAAUCGUAGAUCAGAAUGCUACGGUGAAUACGUUCCCGGGCCUUGUACACACCGCCCGUCACACCAUGGGAGUGGGUUGCAAAAGAAGUAGGUAGCUUAACCUUCGGGAGGGCGCUUACCACUUUGUGAUUCAUGACUGGGGUGAAGUCGUAACAAGGUAACCGUAGGGGAACCUGCGGUUGGAUCACCUCCUU
rnacentral:rRNA from 1 species